GAGUUUGAUCCUGGCUCAGGAUGAACGCUGGCGGCGUGCUUAACACAUGCAAGUCGAACGAGAAUCAUUGGAUCAAGGAUUCGUCUGAGUGAAGGUGAGGAAAGUGGCGGACGGGUGAGUAACGCGUGAGCAAUCUGCCUUGGAGUGGGGAAUAACGGCUGGAAACAGCCGCUAAUACCGCAUGAUGUGUCUGUUUCGCAUGGGAUGGACACCAAAGAUUUAUCGCUCUGAGAUGAGCUCGCGUCUGAUUAGCUGGUUGGCGGGGUAACGGCCCACCAAGGCGACGAUCAGUAGCCGGACUGAGAGGUUGGCCGGCCACAUUGGGGCUGAGACACGGCCCAGACUCCUACGGGAGGCAGCAGUGGGGAAUAUUGGGCAAUGGGCGCAAGCCUGACCCAGCAACGCCGCGUGAAGGAAGAAGGCUUUCGGGUUGUAAACUUCUUUUCUGAGGGACGAAGAAAGUGACGGUACCUCAGGAAUAAGCCACGGCUAACUACGUGCCAGCAGCCGCGGUAAUACGUAGGUGGCAAGCGUUAUCCGGAUUUAUUGGGUGUAAAGGGCGUGUAGGCGGGAAAGCAAGUCAGAUGUGAAAACUCAGGGCUCAACCCUGAGCCUGCAUUUGAAACUGUUUUUCUUGAGUGCUGGAGAGGCAAUCGGAAUUCCGUG
rnacentral:rRNA from 1 species